ACCAUGAAAUUGGGGAGAAAAAGGGGUAAAAAUUCAAAAAACAAAAACAAACAAAAAAAGAUACAUGAAGUUAGGUAGAACCAGUUGGGUUUGUGGCAGUAUUAAAGAUACAGGAAGUUAGGUAGAACCAGUUGGGUUUGUGGCAGUAUUAAAGAUACAGGAAGUUAGGUAGAACCAGUUGGGUUUGUGGCAGUAUUAAAGAUACAGGAAGUUAGGUAGAACCAGUUGGGUUUGUGGCAGUAUUAAAGAUACAUGAAGUUAGGUAGAACCAGUUGGGUUUGUGGCAGUAUUAAAGAUACAGGAAGUUAGGUAGAACCAGUUGGGUUUGUGGCAGUAUUAAAGAUACAGGAAGUUAGGUAGAACCAGUUGGGUUUGUGGCAGUAUUAAAGAUACAGGAAGUUAGGUAGAACCAGUUGGGUUUGUGGCAGUAUUAAAGAUACAGGAAGUUAGGUAGAACCAGUUGGGUUUGUGGCAGUAUUAAAGAUACAGGAAGUUAGGUAGAACCAGUUGGGUUUGUGGCAGUAUUAAAGAUACAUGAAGUUAGGUAGAACCAGUUGGGUUUGUGGCAGUAUUAAAGAUACAGGAAGUUAGGUAGAACCAGUUGGGUUUGUGGCAGUAUUAAAGAUACAGGAAGUUAGGUAGAACCAGUUGGGUUUGUGGCAGUAUUAAAGAUACAGGAAGUUAGGUAGAACCAGUUGGGUUUGUGGCAGUAUUAAAGAUACAGGAAGUUAGGUAGAACCAGUUGGGUUUGUGGCAGUAUUAAAGAUACAGGAAGUUAGGUAGAACCAGUUGGGUUUGUGGCAGUAUUAAAGAUACAGGAAGUUAGGUAGAACCAGUUGGGUUUGUGGCAGUAUUAAAGAUACAGGAAGUUAGGUAGAACCAGUUGGGUUUGUGGCAGUAUUAAAGAUACAUGAAGUUAGGUAGAACCAGUUGGGUUUGUGGCAGUAUUAAAGAUACAUGAAGUUAGGUAGAACCAGUUGGGUUUGUGGCAGUAUUAAAGAUACAUGAAGUUAGGUAGAACCAGUUGGGUUUGU